GCCAGCAGCCACUUAGACUAGGGAAGGAGCAAGGGCGAAGGAGGAGGGGAAGAGGUGCCUGCCACAAACUCGAGAGGAGCUGGUCUGGAGGAGCCUCCAUCUCCACCGGCUCUGAGCUGAGAGUUGGCAGAGGCGAGGGACGGGGGGGGGGAGAAACUCCGUCGUCACUGCAGCUCAGGUGGAAGCAGAAAUCUAGCCCUUUGUGAGCGCUGGGGGCAGGAGGGGGAAGCUGUGCGUCCCCCUCCCCCUUUUUCCCCCCCUGAGGUGGGCUCAGGAGUGGACUUCGCUUCUCGGACGACAGUGGCCCUGGCCGGGCGCGCUGGGAUGUGAGCGGGGACCCCAGCGAGGAGGAAGGUCGCCAGGAGGGUUCCCGGGGAGCUCGUGCCACACACCGCGCAAGGAGACCAUCAUCCUUAAAGCUGUCUGCUCCAGUCAAAGUCUCUCUUGGAAGUUUAAAGGCCUGCUUUUUCUUCCUGAAAAACCCCAGCUGUGAUGUUUUGACUUUUAAAAAACCCCUGGUAAACAGAUGUGGACUUCAGAUAGAAUGAGCAAUGCAAAGAACUGGCUUGGACUUGGUGUGUCCUUAUAUUUUUGGGGACUGAUGGACCUUACUACACUUGCACUCUCUGGGAGUGCCAGGCCACUCAACAAAAGCCAGGAAGAUAACCUGUCGGACAAGCUGCUACUGCAUCAGCGAAUGAAGAGGAGCUGGGUAUGGAACCAGUUUUUUGUUCUUGAAGAAUACACUGGAACCGAUCCUCUGUAUGUUGGCAAGCUCCAUUCCGAUAUGGACAGAGGAGAUGGAUCAAUCAAGUACAUUCUCUCAGGAGAAGGAGCUGGCAUUGUAUUUACGAUCGAUGAUACGACUGGGGACAUUCAUGCCAUUCAGAGAUUGGACCGAGAGGAGAGGUCCCAGUAUACUCUGAGGGCUCAGGCCCUGGACAGACGGACAGGCAGGCCAAUGGAACCAGAAUCAGAGUUCAUCAUCAAAAUCCAAGACAUCAAUGACAAUGAACCCAAGUUCCUGGAUGGACCUUAUGUAGCCUCAGUUCCAGAAAUGUCACCAGUAGGCACCUCUGUUAUCCAGGUGACAGCAACAGAUGCUGAUGAUCCAACCUAUGGGAACAGUGCCAGAGUAGUCUACAGUAUUCUCCAGGGGCAACCAUAUUUCUCUGUGGACUCCAGAACAGGCUUAAUUAGAACAGCUCUAAUGAACAUGGACAGAGAAGCAAAAGACUAUUAUGAAGUGAUUAUCCAGGCCAAAGAUAUGGGUGGACAGCUGGGAGGAUUAGCUGGGACAACCAAAGUCAACAUCACCCUCUCUGAUGUCAAUGACAAUCCACCCAGAUUUCCACAGAAACAUUAUCAGAUGAGUGUGCUGGAGUCCGCUCCAGUCAGCUCCACUGUGGGCCGUGUUGUUGCUAAAGACCUGGAUGAAGGCAUUAAUGCUGAAAUGAAAUACAGCUUUGUAGAUGGAGAUGGACUGGAUGUCUUUGACAUUAACACUGAUCCUAAUUACCAAGUUGGCAUCAUAACUGUGAGAAAGCCCUUAAGUUUUGAGAGCAAGAAGAGCUACACUUUAAAAGUAGAGGGCACCAAUCCCCACCUGGAAAUGCGUUUCCUGAACCUGGGCCCCUUCCGAGACACCACGACUGUGCACAUCAGCGUGGAGGAUGUGGAUGAGCCCCCAGUGUUUGAGUCUAGCUUCUAUUUUGUGGAAGUGCCUGAGGAUGUGGAGAUCGGAACCACCAUACAAAUUAUUUCUGCCAGUGACCCUGAUGUGACCAACAACUCAAUCAGAUAUUCAAUUGAUAGAAGCAGUGAUCCAGGGAGGUUCUUUUACGUCGACAUUGCAACAGGAGCUCUGAUGACUGCAAGACCUCUUGACCGGGAAGACCUUUCUUGGCACAAUAUCACUGUGCUGGCUGUGGAGCUGAACAAUCCCUCACAGGUUGGCAGUGUAUCAGUCACAGUAAAAGUCCUGGAUGUGAAUGAUAAUGCUCCUCAGUUUUCCAGGUUCUAUGAAGCUUUUGUGUGUGAAAAUGCAAAAGCUGGGCAGCUGAUUCAGACAGUGAGUGCAAUUGACCAGGAUGACCCACAAGGGGGUCAGCACUUCUACUACAGCUUGGCUCCUGAGGCAGCUAACAACCCCAACUUCACUCUGAGGGACAAUCAAGGUAAUCAGAGUGGACGCCAUCCGUUAGUGACACUUAUUUCUAUAGCCUGAGUUGGAUGUGAGAGGCUUUGACUCACAGUGCGCUGUGAACCUGCCAUUAUCAAUAAUGCCAAGUGACAUCUGCCCCUUAAAGGCAGCAAUAAAAUGACAUUUUAUACACUUGAAGGUUAUACAACAUUUGCAUCUAUAUAAAUAUUUCCCAGUGAUUGGCGCUUUUCUUCGAGGAAAAGUGUCAGUAUUGUGCAAAUUCAGAUCUUGUGGUCAUGCUGUAGGCAUCUAAAAUUUCAAGAGUGGGACUUGGUUCAAAAGGCGAGGCUUAAAGGUAGGAUUAGAACUGGAACUAGGAGAAAUCGAGAGCAAAAUAAUUUCACUCUUUUGCACCCUACAUGUUUUCUUCCAAGCACAGAAUGUGAAUGCUCCUAUUAUUCCAGUGUCUCCUCUCUUUUUCUCAAAGCUCUUUACACUUGUUCACUUGCUGCUCGUAAACAAGCUGUAAGAGUUACAGGGGAGAUGCACAGCACAGAGGUGAGAAGCCAUCUAGGAUGCACGGAGCAGAAAGGGAGAAGCCAGAGUAGAACACUCAAAAAAGGAAACACGGAGUAACAAGGGAAGACAGUGAAAAACCAUUGUCCAAGAACAAGGAGAUAAGCAUGUUAGCUGGAUGGUUCAAAUGGGAUCAUUCAAAGUGAAAAACAUUUGGAACUGAACCUGAUCUUGCAAUCCUUGCACACAGGAUCAGGCCUAAAAGUGUCCUUUAUUCUAGCUUUAAGAGGUAGCCACAACUAUAUAAACAUUCGCAGUGAAAUAUUUAGUGCAGAAGCAGCUCACCACGUCUUGCCCAGUGGUACAGAGCUACUUCUCUGCACUGCGUAUAGGAGACCUAGCAUUGACAAUGGAGCCAAUACAGGAUUGGAAAAUAAUGCUUUCAGCCUAUGGUAGGAAGAAGUCUCUCCUGUACAUCAUAUUAACUCUGGAAGCUUCUUUCAAAGUGAAAGAAAUUUGACUCAAAUAGAGUUUGUUCUAUUUUUUGUGCUCAUGCAAAGCUGUUGUGCACUUCUUUGGCAGUCCUCCAGCUGCUAUCCCACACUGCUUUGCAGGCAACCAUUAAUGACUUGUCUAUUUACCGCUGUGCCUUCCACUGCUCUGGUGUCAAGCUGACCAGAUGCCCCUUUCCCUGUUUAAAAACUGGCACAGGGCCAGAUUUUGUCCAUUUUCUCCUGGAUUUGAAUGCAUCAGUAUUACUCCAGAAGCCCUAAAACAUACCUAGAGCAGCUGCUUGGAGCUAUGCUGAGACCCUGAAACUCAUCACCACCUGGGGAGAAGCAUCAGGAAGCUCCUGUGGCCACCCACCAAAAGAAAGCUCUUUCUGUGGGCACUGCUAAGCACAUAACCAGGCCGGGCCUCAACCAGCACACCAAACACUGCAGGGUAAAGAGCAAACAGCCCAGGAGGACUUACAUUCACAACGGGGAUGCUGGGAAAAGGUCCAGUAGUGGCAAUGUGACCUGUCCAUCUUUUGAAGACCUGGACAGAAUUUUGAUCAGUUACCCUACCAUCCAAACCAGGAAGGGUAUGGACCCUGCUCUGUCCCCACCCCAAGGACAACCUGCAAGACUCACUGGAGGAUGAACAUGAGGAAGCCAGUGAAGACCUCUCCCCAGAAUGCUAAGAUUUCUUCAGGAUUCAGAACCAUGAUGUUGGCCAGGUAGAAAGUGAGCCUAGUUCCUGAUGUGCAGCAACCAAGCCCAAUUCCCAGCCAGAAAUCCAGGCUCGGACUGAUAAGGCAGACCCUCUCAAGGGAAGCUUGUCAUCCGCAGCACUUGCAGUGGUCAGACCCUCCAUGACAAGGCCUUUAUCAAUAGCUGAGAUGCUGGCUAACCUGACAGACUUAAAACGCAGCAUGAAAUGUUUGCGGGCCUCAUUGCAGAGGCCCAAUGACAAAUGAAAAUAGUGGAGAGAUGGAGGCUGUACUUGGGCAAAGAGAAGGAAAAAGAAACUGAGCUCCUCAGAGAGACCAUUGGGGUGAACAAAGACAGUGUCACAGUGGCCAGGGACAGCAUUGCAAUGGCAAAAGAUGCUGUUGAAAUAGACAUGGAGAUAUGAAGGCAUCUCCUGGAGGCUACAGAGAGCCGGAAGGGUCUGCUGCAGCUUCUGUUAACCAGGACCCAGCCAUGUUAUGCAGCCCCGGACAAUAUAGGGUACUGGGAACACUAGCAACAGCGUGUACUACUGUACACCCAACAGAGUACCCCCAACUCCACAAAGGCCAUUCCUUCACAGACCCAAGCUCAGGACAGCAAGAACAGUUUCACCUGGGAGCCCUCAUCUACCACCCUUAAUAACUUUGAUCCUUGCCACUCAACACCAGAAGAGGAAGAGGCGAGGCAUAUGUUCACCUGUGAAUUGAGCCCUCCCUCCCCUGGUUGUGUUCUGCCCUCCACUGCACAAUGUCACUUUGAAUUUUUGUUUAGUUCUAAAUAAGGCCUCUUUCUGUUUGCUAUAUAAUACAGUGUUUAAUAAUAAAACUCAUUAAAAUAAUUUAUAAAAAAAGAGUUGUCAAUGCAUUUUAUAUAGAAAAUCCAUAGACUGUAAAUAGUUCAGAGUGUUUUACAGAAGAACCAAGCACAGACAAAAUAAAAUGAUUGCCACAACAUUGCCCUUCACUUCACUAAUACUGCACUGCUCACAAUCCGCCCCCCACGUCCCACACACACACACCCUCAACUAGGUAACAGCUGCACAUUUUCAGGCUGAGACUCAAAGUAAGAUCAAGAGGUAUCUAUGACAGCAUUGCCCUGGCUGUUUCUAUUUUGUAUUGGAUUCCUUGCUGGCUUCUCAAGACACAGCCUUAAUCCUGGGUGGAAGGCUUUUCCCUUAUCUGACAAAUGUUGUUCAAAAUGUCACGGAGCAAUAAUUUUAAGGCACUUAUUUUUUUCCUUCCAGCUUCCAACAUAUUCCACAAACAGCACCACCUUCCUUUCAAACGGCAAAAUGCACACCCACUGUCAUUCUGCAACUAUUAAGACUGCAGUUAAACAAUUCCUUCCUUCUAUCCAAACCAACUGUGAAUGGCUGUUACCCAGGGAAGCAGGGGACAAGCCAGGUCUCCUAGGAUAACCAGAGCAAUCUGCACACCAUUCAUGUCCAUAAUCAUCCUCUAGGCAAACUGUUCUUGAUCCAUUAAGAUAAACAGAGCUGAGUUCCCAAAAUCCAACCAUUGUGGACUCUUCCAGACCACCCUGCAUUUAAGUCUGUAAACCUGCCACGGUGGUCAACAGCCUUUGUAGCACCAUGGAGAAAUACCCCUUUCUGUGUAUAAAUGCUGAGCUGCGGGCAUGGAGGGGAAGGGAUGGGAGGAGCCAAAUAAUAGGUACAUUGUAUUGGAGCAACUGAUGGCAGCAGUUUGGGAAUCCCAGGAGUGCAAACCCAUCAGUAAUAUGCUGAACAUUACCAAGCUUUAUAACCUGGUGCAACAGUACCUCUUCCAUGGCACCACAUAUAAACAAUGGCCCCCACAGCUCAUCUCCCCAGGCCAAAUUGGUUGGCGGUGUUCCAGUAGCAUUCUGGGGUGACCAGCUUCCAGAUGGCAAUGGCAGCCUACUUCUCCGCAGGUAUGGGGCACCGUGUGUUGGUAUGCUGCCGCUCCAGGGCCAGUUCUGUACAGAUCUCAAAAAAGGUUGCCUACACUACCCUGAAAUUCUCUCGCCAUGGCGGAUUGCCCCAGCUCUGCAGACGGAUCCUUUCCCACCAAUCCCUGCUGGCUUCCCGAGCCCAGAAAUGGCACUGUAGGCUGUGAAGCUACUUCAGCAACUGCUUCUCCCAUGUCAGUUGCUCGCCGUCCUCCUCUUCUUCCUCAGCCUCUGAAGCUGAUGUGGCAAGUGAAGUCCAAACCCAAAGUCAUCCAGCUUUGAGUGCUGAAAUAGAGUCCAAGCAGCCUCUGCGUGCUCACAGUUGCCAGCGUUGCUGAGUCCAUGCUGGCUGACAGCAAUUCAAAAAUCAAUGCUAGUCUGCCCAGAAAAGGAAGCAUGGGGAAGAGAGAAUGGAAAAACGGGAUUUUUUUUUUUUUAAAUUGAAAUGCCCUGGCUUCUGGUAUACAUCUGGUAUACAAUUCACAGAGAGAAAAAUCCCAGAAUGCACACUGCUGAGCAGCAAAGCAAAGGACCAUGGGAUACCCUCAGAGAAUGCAACAUGCUUGUUGUUCACCAAGCCACCACUGUGUGUGCACAAUGAUAUGAAUCGAAAGAGGCACCACCAGCCUGUGUGUGUGCCAUUAGUGCAGCUCAUGUCUUGCAAAUUACAUAAUGCAUGUCAAAUUAAUCCUCUACCCCCACGCCCACUCUGUGUAGACAAACCUAGAGAUGGCAAAGAACUCUCUUCACUGAUUGAGCGCUGACGAGAUCAGCACUGACUUCCCCAGAAAAUCCCUGCACGUUUUCAUGAGGAUCGAACUGUGAACAGCUGCCUGAACCCCAACCCUUCUGGCCAGCUGCACCCACGGUAAUUCGGAAGUCCUGACUCUGAAGUUUGUAGUGUGGACAGGGGCCUUUCGUGUUUUGAGAAGAGCUGGUUGAGAACUGGAAAUUCUGUUCUGCAGGAAAGUGCAACAUUUUGGCAAGGGGUGUUCUAAAUUAGAAGAGUGAAAUUUCAAUUUCCUGUGAAAUAAUUCCAAAAAAGUUUGAAUUGAGACCAAAAUGUUUCAUUUCAAUAUAGUGU